ACACUUGUGACACGGCCUCAGGCGGUCCUGAUGACAUGUGUCCAAGGUGGUCAGAACACAGUUUGGUUUUAUACAUUCUAGGGAGGCAUGAGACAUCAGUCAACAAAUGUAAGAUGAACACUGGUUCAGUCUGAAAAGCCGGGACAACUAGAAGUAGUGCGGGGCUUCCAGAUAACAGGUAGAUAAGAGACAAAUGGUCACAUUCUUUUGAGUUUCUGAUUAGCCUUUCCAAAGGAGGCAAUCAUAUAUGCAUUCAUCUCAGUGAGCAGAAGGGUGACUUUGAGUGGAAUGGGAGGCAAAUUUGCUCUAAGCAGUUCCCAGCUUGACUUUUCCCUUUAGCUUAGUGAUUUUGGUGGCCCAAUAUAUCUUCCUUUCACGGCUUUUAUCUGAAGGCUCUGGGGAGAAUUCAAUUACUGGCUCAUUCAAGCUGUUGGCAGAUUUCUGUUCCAUGAGGCUGCAGGACUGAGGUCCCUGUUUCCUUGCCCGCUGUCAGCUGAGGCCACUCUCAGAUUUAAAGGCCACUCUCAUUCCUUCUUGUGUGUCCUUCCCCAUCUUCAAACCAGCAAUGGAGCAUCAAGUCCUUCUCAUGCCUCAAAAUUCUCUUACUUCUACUGCCAGCUGAAGAAAACUCUGCUUUCAAAGGGCAUAUGUGAUAAGAUUAGACCCACCCAGGUAACCUAACUGGCCUUUUCAAUAUAACAUGUAAUGAUCUCAGGAGUGACACCAGAAAGCAAAGGUCUAGGAGCCAUCUUAAAAUUCUGCCACUACAGACAGGAACCAUAGAUUGGGAGCACAGUUAGAGACAGGAUCUCACUCUGUCACCCAGGCUGGUGUGCAGUGGCACUAUCAUAGCUCACUGCAGCCUCAAACUCCUGGGCUCAAGCCAUCCUCCUGCCUCAGCUUCCCGAGUAGCUGGGACUAUAGGUGUGUGCCACCAUGCUCAGCUAGUUUUUUUAAAAAAAAGUUUUGUAGAGAUGGAGUCUCGCUAUGUUGCCAAGAAUGGUCUUGAACUCCUGGCCUCAAAUGAUCCACUCACCUCAGCCUUUAAAAGAAUUGGGCUUGCAGGUGUGAACCACUGCACCCAGCCUGAAGCACAGCUUUCUUAUGGGACUACUCCAGAUGUCCAAAGAUUAGCUCGUCUGGUUAAAAUUUUUGCUACCUCCUUCCCUUCAAAAAUCCUGUUACAUGUUGACAAUCUGGGAUUGAAAAUAAUGUUCUAUAACACCGGCUGAAUUUCUCUCUUUCAUAUUUUUCAGACUGACCCACCCCUGCCCAUUUCUUUUAUUUAUUUAUUUAUUUUUUGAGACAGAGUCAUCUUGGCUCACUGCAACCUCUGCCUCCUGGGCUCAAUCGAUUCUCCCACCUCAGCCUCUUGAGUAGCUGGGAUUACAGGCGCCCACCACCACACCUGGCUAGUGUUUUGUAUUUUUAGUAGAGAUGAGGUUUCACCAUAUUGCCGAGGCUGUUCUUGAACUCCAGAGCUCAAGCAGUCCGCCCGCCUCAGCCUCCCAAAGUGCUGGGAUUACAGGCGUGAGUCACCACGCCUGGCCUACGCCCCUGCCCCAUUCCUAACUCCUCGAACUCUCUGUACAAUUAUAUUUGCUAUUCCCACUUGCUUCCCUUGUUCAUCAUUUCUCUCCUUUCUAUACCCUUAUCACUUUCCAUCUGUUUUCAAAACAAGCAAAGGUGCUCCCAGGUGUCAUCACCUAGGACUUCUAAUUAAGUGCCCUUUGAGGAAUUAAUACGAUGAGUUGUAGGAGUUAAUAUGAUGAUCUGUACAGAGCUCCGUGGUUGUCUAUUUUCCUGGUCCCCAUCUCUGCAGUAGAUCAUUACAGAAAUAGGCUUCAAACCACUGGGCGAACUAUGGCAUUAGUCAGGGGCAAGGCUAAGUGGCUGCAAGAAAGAGAAUAACAUUUCAUACCUUAAGUACAAAGAAGUCUGUUUUUUUCUCACGUAGAAACCAGGAAAUAUAAACAGUUGUCACUAAGUAUCUUUGGAGGAUUAGUCCGAGGACCUCCCUCAAAUACCAAAAUCCAGGGAUGCUCAAUUCCGUGGUACAAAAUGAAGUAGCGUUUGCAUAUAACCAAGAGGAGGAAAAUGAGCUGCAGAAGGAUCAAAUGACCUGCCUGAGGUGCCCUAUCUGUUGGCACAGGCCAGAGCACAUGGUGGAUGCAGGGGCACCCCCUUCCCUUCUCCUCCCCUCCGGCUCUUUGCUGACAGGAUUCUCUCUUGCCUUCUCUGAUGGUACCUGUGCUACGUGCCACAUCCUUUCCCUCAAUGAAUUUCAGGCAGUGGAAGGGGCCGCAGAAGUUCCUUGACUCAUGAGGCGAGGCAUUCAGCGGCCUCGUGACACCUCCCAGGAUCUGCAGUCAUUGGGCUGCACUUGCCAAUAGCAACACCUGGCAAAAAUAGCUAAGAAGCAGAGCGGCCUGGGCUCAGGAGCUGAGCAACCCCUGACUGGCCAGAUGGAGACUGUGUUGAGCUCUGCCCAAGCCCUGUGAUCCUGGAAAACAGUGAAGUUAAGGAGCCAUCUGCAUUCUAGGGAAUGGCCCACUGCAAAAAAUAGCCUUCCUUAUAGGACGUAGAGGACUCAUGAUGUCCCCUCAUUUAUGAUGAGCCAACACACAGCCCUUCCAAAUUCCGAUUCUUUGCUUCAUAACUGAUGAGCUGUUUUGUUCCCACUGGUCAAUCGGAACAACAUUCUUGCUAACCAGAUUUUGGUUCAGCUCUUCUCCCUCCCCAUGUACCUGCCCUGUGUCCUGUCCUCAUCCUGAGCCAGCACACACCCCUCCUUAGUAGCUCCUCCUGCAGCAGGCUGACCUCGGACUCUCCCUGAUCCAUUGUCCAAAUAUAUCACCCUUUCACCCUACAUCCUCACACCCCAUUCUUUCUAGUUUUGUUCAUUCCUCCCUGUGAAAGAUGAACCCUCUUUGCCUAACCCCGGACCUGCUUGCAGACUGCUAUGAUGGCCAGAGUGUCCCCCCUACUGCAAGAGUCCCUUCUGUCCCUUGCAACAUCUUUUAAAUAAAAUCUCUCUUUAC
rnacentral:lncRNA from 1 species